UGGUUUUCCAGGCAAAUCCGGAAAAUCAAGGCUGAGGCGUGAUGACGAGGCACUACGGUGCUGAAGCAACAAAUGCCCUGCUUCCAGGAAAAGCCUCUAAGCAUCAGGUAACAUCAAAUCGUACCCCAAACCGACACAGGUGGUCAGGUAGAGAAUACCAAGGCGCUUGAGAGAACUCGGGUGAAGGAACUAGGCAAAAUGGUGCCGUAACUUCGGGAGAAGGCACACUGAUAUGUAGGUGAGGUCCCUCGCGGAUGGAGCUGAAAUCAGUCGAAGAUACCAGCUGGCUGCAACUGUUUAUUAAAAACACAGCACUGUGCAAACACGAAAGUGGACGUAUACGGUGUGACGCCUGCCCGGUGCCGGAAGGUUAAUUGAUGGGGUUAGCGCAAGCGAAGCUCUUGAUCGAAGCCCCGGUAAACGGCGGCCGUAACUAUAACGGUCCUAAGGUAGCGAAAUUCCUUGUCGGGUAAGUUCCGACCUGCACGAAUGUCGUAAUGAUGGCCAGGCUGUCUCCACCCGAGACUCAGUGAAAUUGAACUCGCUGUGAAGAUGCAGUGUACCCGCGGCAAGACGGAAAGACCCCGUGAACCUUUACUAUAGCUUGACACUGAACAUUGAGCCUUGAUGUGUAGGAUAGGUGGGAGGCUUUGAAGUGUGGACGCCAGUCUGCAUGGAGCCGACCUUGAAAUACCACCCUUUAAUGUUUGAUGUUCUAACGUUGACCCGUAAUCCGGGUUGCGGACAGUGUCUGGUGGGUAGUUUGACUGGGGCGGUCUCCUCCUAAAGAGUAACGGAGGAGCACGAAGGUUGGCUAAUCCUGGUCGGACAUCAGGAGGUUAGUGCAAUGGCAUAAGCCAGCUUGACUGCGAGCGUGACGGCGCGAGCAGGUGCGAAAGCAGGUCAUAGUGAUCCGGUGGUUCUGAAUGGAAGGGCCAUCGCUCAACGGAUAAAAGGUACUCCGGGGAUAACAGGCUGAUACCGCCCAAGAGUUCAUAUCGACGGCGGUGUUUGGCACCUCGAUGUCGGCUCAUCACAUCCUGGGGCUGAAGUAGGUCCCAAGGGUAUGGCUGUUCGCCAUUUAAAGUGGUACGCGAGCUGGGUUUAGAACGUCGUGAGACAGUUCGGUCCCUAUCUGCCGUGGGCGCUGGAGAACUGAGGGGGGCUGCUCCUAGUACGAGAGGACCGGAGUGGACGCAUCACUGGUGUUCGGGUUGUCAUGCCAAUGGCACUGCCCGGUAGCUAAAUGCGGAAGAGAUAAGUGCUGAAAGCAUCUAAGCACGAAACUUGCCCCGAGAUGAGUUCUCCCUGACCCUUUAAGGGUCCUGAAGGAACGUUGAAGACGACGACGUUGAUAGGCCGGGUGUGUAAGCGCAGCGAUGCGUUGAGCUAACCGGUACUAAUGAACC
rnacentral:rRNA from 1 species